rnacentral:tmRNA from 1 species
GGGCUUUCCAAACGCCGGCACCGGGUCUAUAUCGUUCGGUGCCGGGUUCGCCCGGCUAUGGUGAUAAAUCAUGUCGCAUAAUAGACGCAGCGGACCCGGGGGCAGUACCCGGCGGCUCCACCACAAGCCUCGGCAACGAGGUUUAUGACGGGGCCGAACCAGGAUCGACGUGUGUUCAAAGGCGAUGUCUUUGCCCGGCCUGAUUGAGCCGUAAAACCGAUCAAAACCACAAGUGCUAACGAUAACGAAGCACUCGCGAUUGCUGCGUAACUGACGCCCUUCGGGGAGUAGGUUACAAGGCUUAAGCGCGGUUCGGGCCGAACCGGGCAACAGAAUCGGACACC